rnacentral:rRNA from 1 species
UACGAAGGGGGCUAGCGUUGCUCGGAAUUACUGGGCGUAAAGGGCGCGUAGGCGGACAGUUUAGUCAGAGGUGAAAGCCCAGGGCUCAACCCUGGAAUUGCCUUUGAUACUGGCUGUCUUGAGUACGGGAGAGGUGUGUGGAACUCCGAGUGUAGAGGUGAAAUUCGUAGAUAUUCGGAGGAACACCAGUGGCGAAGGCGGCUCACUGGCUCGACACUGACGCUGAGGUGCGAAAGCGUGGGGAGCAAACAGG